rnacentral:rRNA from 1 species
UACGUAGGGUGCGAGCGUUGUCCGGAAUUAUUGGGCGUAAAGAGCUUGUAGGCGGUUUGUCGCGUCUGCUGUGAAAAUCCGGGGCUCAACCCCGGACUUGCAGUGGGUACGGGCAGACUAGAGUGUGGUAGGGGAGACUGGAAUUCCUGGUGUAGCGGUGGAAUGCGCAGAUAUCAGGAGGAACACCGGUGGCGAAGGCGGGUCUCUGGGCCGAUACUGACGCUGAGGAGCGAAGGCCAGGGGAGCAAACGGG